CCACCAUGCCCAGCUAAUUUUUUUUUUUUUUUUGAGACGGAGUCUAUGUGCCCAGCAUUGUUCUAGAGCACUUGCAAUUAGUGGUGAACAACACGGUCUCUACUCCAAAGGGCUCACAUUCUUGUGCAGAAAACAGAAAUGAACAAAUAAACACACAAGAUCAUUUCCCGUGGUAGUGAGAGCUGGGAUGAAAAUAAAACAGCGUGGCAGGGAGGAGGCAAGUGUUGUGAGUCUGGAGGGUUCCUGGAGAAUGGGGCCUGAGGCGUGACCACCCCCUUCCUCUCUGGGGGGACUGCCUGCCGCCCCCGCAGACACCCAUGGUUGAGUGCCCUCCAGGCCCCUGCCUGCCCCAGCAUCCCCUGCGCGAAGCUGGGUGCCCCGGAGAGUCUGACCACCAUGCCACCUCCUCGCCUCCUCUUCUUCCUCCUCUUCCUCACCCCCAUGGAAGUCAGGCCCGAGGAACCUCUAGUGGUGAAGGUGGAAGAGGGAGAUAACGCUGUGCUGCAGUGCCUCAAGGGGACCUCAGAUGGCCCCACUCAGCAGCUGACCUGGUCUCGGGAGUCCCCGCUUAAACCCUUCUUAAAACUCAGCCUGGGCCUGCCAGGCCUGGGAAUCCACAUGAGGCCCCUGGCCAUCUGGCUUUUCAUCUUCAACGUCUCUCAACAGAUGGGGGGCUUCUACCUGUGCCAGCCAGGGCCCCCCUCUGAGAAGGCCUGGCAGCCUGGCUGGACAGUCAAUGUGGAGGGCAGCGGGGAGCUGUUCCGGUGGAAUGUUUCGGACCUAGGUGGCCUGGGCUGUGGCCUGAAGAACAGGUCCUCAGAGGGCCCCAGCUCCCCUUCCGGGAAGCUCAUGAGCCCCAAGCUGUAUGUGUGGGCCAAAGACCGCCCUGAGAUCUGGGAGGGAGAGCCUCCAUGUGGCCCACCGAGGGACAGCCUGAACCAGAGCCUCAGCCAGGACCUCACCAUGGCCCCUGGCUCCACACUCUGGCUGUCCUGUGGGGUACCCCCUGACUCUGUAUCCAGGGGCCCCCUCUCCUGGACCCAUGUGCACCCCAAGGGGCCUAAGUCAUUGCUGAGCCUAGAGCUGAAGGACGAUCGCCCGGCCAGAGAUAUGUGGGUAAUGGAGACGGGUCUGUUGUUGCCCCGGGCCACAGCUCAAGAUGCUGGAAAGUAUUAUUGUCACCGUGGCAACCUGACCAUGUCAUUCCACCUGGAGAUCACUGCUCGGCCAGUACUAUGGCACUGGCUGCUGAGGACUGGUGGCUGGAAGGUCUCAGCUGUGACUUUGGCUUAUCUGAUCUUCUGCCUGUGUUCCCUUGUGGGCAUUCUUCAUCUUCAAAGAGCCCUGGUCCUGAGGAGGAAAAGAAAGCGAAUGACUGACCCCACCAGGAGAUUCUUCAAAGUGACGCCUCCCCCAGGAAGCGGGCCCCAGAACCAGUACGGGAACGUGCUGUCUCUCCCCACACCCACCUCAGGCCUCGGACGCGCCCAGCGUUGGGCCGCAGGCCUGGGGGGCACUGCCCCGUCUUAUGGAAACCCGAGCAGCGACGUCCAGGCGGAUGGAGCCUUGGGGUCCCGGAGCCCGCCGGGAGUGGAAGAAGAGGAAGGGGAGGGCUAUGAGGAACCUGACAGUGAGGAGGACUCCGAGUUCUAUGAGAACGACUCCAACCUUGGGCAGGACCAGCUCUCCCAGGAUGGCAGCGGCUACGAGAACCCUGAGGAUGAGCCCCUGGGUCCUGAGGAUGAAGACUCCUUCUCCAACGCUGAGUCUUAUGAGAACGAGGAUGAAGAGCUGACCCAGCCGGUCGCCAGGACAAUGGACUUCCUGAGCCCUCAUGGGUCAGCCUGGGACCCCAGCCGGGAAGCAACCUCCCUGGUAUCAGCCUGGACUUGAUCUCCACCUCACCUCAGCCCCAGUGCAGACCUCAACUUGGACCCCAGCUUACUCUGCAGCUUCUUCAUGACUCUGACUCCGACUCCCUCCAGUUUCUUCUUUUUCUUUUUUUUUUUUUGAGACGGAGUCUCCCUCUGUUGCCCAGGCUGGAGUGCAGUUGCCACCUCUGCCUCCUAGGUUCAAGCGAUUCUCAUGCCUCAGCCUCCUGAGUAGCUGGGAUUAUAGACGUUUGCCACCACACCUGGCUAAUUCUUGUAUUUUCAGUAGAGACAGGGUUUCGCCAUGUUGGCCAGACUGGUCUCCAACUCCUGGCCUCUAGUGAUCUGCCCGCCUUGGCUUCCCAAAGUGCUGGGAUUACAGGCAUGAGCCACCACGCCCAGCCCAGUUCUGUUCUUGACCCCUUCCUUAGCCAUAAUCUAACCCAUAUCUAACCCUGACCCUACAGCUAACUGGGGCCCCAAACUCAAUGCUGACCGAAUCACCCCUUCCCAGCACAGCAUGUGUAAUGCCCCUCACCUUCCUCUGCCCCUCAGUCUUCCUCCUUACCGUAGGCUGUACUUCCCAUGCCCUAGCCUCCAAUUCUCCAUCCCCCGCCCAAGCAGGGUCCCAGUCCUAUGAGGAUAUGAGAGGAAUCCUGUAUGCAGCCCCCCAGCUCCGCUCCAUUCGGGGCCAGCCUGGACCCAAUCAUGAGGAAGAUGCAGACUCUUAUGAGAACAUGGAUAAUCCCGAUGGGCCAGACCCAGCCUGGGGAGGAGGGGGCCGCAUGGGCACCUGGAGCACCAGGUGAUCCUCAGGUGGCCAGCCUGGAUCUCCUCAAGUCCCCAAGAUCCACACCUGACUCUGAAAUCUGAAGACCUCGAGCAGAUGAUGCCAACCUCUGGAGCAAUGUUGCUUAGGAUGUGUGCAUGUGUGUAAGAGUGUGUGUGUGUGUGUGUGUGUGUGUGUAUACAUGCCAGUAACACUUCCAGGCCCCUUUGUAUUUCUUAAAUAAACUCAAUGAGCUCUUCCAA